UAAUAGAUUAAAGCUAAAACAGAGUUAAUGUUUGGAAAAAAUCAGUUUUCACUUUGUUUCAGAGACUGGAGCAAAGAUUGUAAAGACAUUCCUCUGGCUUAUGGAAGCAAUCAAGGACACUUCUAUUUCCUUAUGGUAGACGGCAUGGCUUACUGGAUAAAGAGGCCUACAUAUACAUGCUGCCUCUCACACCAAAAAGCACACCUGGCAUGUGACUUGGAACAGAGCAUGCCAAAGAACAAUCCGUUCAAAGGCAAGAGGCAGUCUGGAAAUACCCCUUCCUUGUUUAUGGAUGGUGCCAUGUAGUUUUACUGAUUCAUAAUGGAGCUACAGGCUUUUUAUUCUGACAGCUUAAGCACUGGAAUGAAGGAUAAAACCGCUGGGCAAGGACCGCCCUCAUAAAGUGGCUCGCUUCAGACUUCGGAUGCACAGGUACACAUUAACAACCCUGUGGAAUUGGAGGUCGGGAAUGAUAGAACUCUGUCUUGGCAAAACAAAAGAUAUUUCAAAGAAGAACAAGCAACGGGAAAAGCCUUCUUUUGCCUGGAACUAACACUGGGCUUGACUUUACUGGAAGAAAACUCAAGUUCUGCCUUUAUAAGUAAGCAUUUUAAUAAUAGAAACACUCUAGGGCAGAGCAUACCCAAUUUCCUUAAUCUGCACAUUCCAAAUGAAUAUACAGUCCUAGGUUAUACACAUUAAUUUCCUCACAUAUAUACACACCCACCCACACACUCACAUUCACAAGUACAUGCUCUCAGUGCAAAGCUCCAGUGGGGCAUUGCUCUAACUGUACAUGACAUCAAGAGAGUAUCCAAGAAGUCCCUAAUAGCAUAUAAGCCCAACUACUAGGAAGAGUGAACACACAUUAAUAGCUGUAUCAAAGAGGGGGGGAAUAGCAUUUAGAGAUGCAAAACAUCAUUUUGAGGUUUUCCAGGUACCAUAAUGAUAGUUUUUCUUACCACUGAAUAUUCAUGACACCUCAUAAAACUAAUGAUAAACAUAAAAAUUGAUGUGAACGUUUGACUAAUCUGCUCUUAUUUGUUUGGAAGAGCUGUGGUAAUUGCCUGGUUUGUAAAUUAAACAUCUGCUAUGGGAAUAAACAAAAACAUAACUGAGCA
rnacentral:lncRNA from 1 species